rnacentral:rRNA from 1 species
UACGUAGGGUGCAAGCGUUAUCCGGAAUUACUGGGCGUAAAGCGCGCGUAGGUGGUUUGUUAAGUUGGAUGUGAAAGCCCCGGGCUCAACCUGGGAACUGCAUCCAAAACUGGCAAGCUAGAGUACGGUAGAGGGUGGUGGAAUUUCCUGUGUAGCGGUGAAAUGCGUAGAUAUAGGAAGGAACACCAGUGGCGAAGGCAACCACCUGGACUGAUACUGACACUGAGGUGCGAAAGCGUGGGGAGCAAACAGG